rnacentral:lncRNA from 1 species
UUUCUAUUACCAGUUGGAUCAGAUUCUUCUUCCUCUCUGAACAACAACAACACAAACUUUUCUCCUUCCUUUCUUCUUUUAUCUUUACCACUUUCGCACAUUCUCUCUAGAGCAAAACAACAUGACUCGCUCCUCUAGAUUCCUCGGAUCCGCGGCGGCGCCACCACCGCCGGAAGAAAUCCUCGCCGCGGAAACCGACAUGAUUGUGAUCCUCUCAGCUCUUCUCUGCGCUCUCAUAUGCGUAGCCGGCUUAGCCGCCGUG